rnacentral:lncRNA from 1 species
CGACGCCCAUCCCGAAGAAGUUUAAAUAGGGAUAGGCCCCUUUUUCCAUCAAUUUCUGCCUGUAUGACGUGCCCAAAGUAAACUGCCUGUAGCUCAGGCCCUGAAGCCAGGAUAUGCAUAUAAUUGGUACCAUUGGGAAGAAAACACUUUGAAGUUUGUAGAAAUGUUAAUGGAGGAGUAGGAGAAUAUAACACAGUAGAUCCAAAGACAAACCAACCAGAAUUGUUUCUUUUGAGAGACCAUCCUCUUAGAAAUUCAAGAGAAAGGUCAUAUUGAACAUUAGCUCCCUGGAUGCAAUUCCCAUGGCUUCCAUAGGGUCUCAGCUGUCUAUGAUCAAGGUUUCAUGCUUGUAACUUCAAAAACGAAUAAGAAAUAACAGUUUUAGUAGAGGGACACAGUCUGCGCAGUCACUCAAAUUUGUGCUUGUGCGCGCCAUGAAUGCAUUACUCACCUGAUAAAAUAAGUUUCCUAUUAAACAUACUUAUUUCUGAAAGAAAUAUUAUAUUUUGAUUACGGUUUAGGGUAUCUGAGGAGUAAAUAGAAACGUAUUUUGACUCGUUGAAAAAAAGUUUAGGGGUAGAUUUUUGGAUUCCUUUCUCUGCAAGUUGAACGAGUGGAUUACUCAAAUCGAUGGUGCCAACUAAACAGACUUUUUGGGAUAUAAAGAAGGAUUUUAUCUAACAAAAUGACACUACAUGUUAUAGCUGGGACCCUUAGGAUGACAAAUCAGAGGAAGAUUUUCAAAAAGUAAUUGAAUAUUUUAUCGUUAUAUGUGAAUGUAUGAAACCUGUGCCAGUGUAAAAACAUUUUGAUGUGGGGCGCGUCCUCAAUCACAUGGCAUGUUUUCGCUGUAAUAGCUACUGUAAAUCAGACAGUGCAGUUACAUUAAAACAAAUUUAAGCUUUCAGCCGAUAUAAGACACUUAUAUGUACCUAAAUGUUUAAAAUCCAUAAUAUUUUUUAUUUGAAUUGCGCGCCCUCCAGUUUCACUGGAAAUUUUACCACUAGCGGAACCCAUAGCCCUAAGAAGUUAAUUAAAUAGUACCCGCAAAAAAACAGUCUCAACGUCAACAAGUCGCCUCUUCGCUUUUGACAUUGAGACUUGUUUGGGCCAAGAAACAUGAGUAAUGGACAUUAGACCGGUGGAAAUCUGUCCUUUGGUGGAAAUCUGUCCUAAAUUUGUGAUUUUUGGUUCUAACCGCCGUGUCUUUGUGAGACGCAGAGUAGGUGUACGGAUGAUCUCCGCAUGUGUGGUUCCCACCAUGAAGCUUUGAGGAGGAGGUGUCAUGGUAUGGUGUUGCUUUGCUGGUGACACAGUCUGUGAUUUAUUUAGAAUUCAAGGCAUACUUAACCAGCAUGGCUACCACAGCAUUCUGCAGCAAUACGCCAUCCCAUCUGGUUUGCGCUUAGUGGGACUCUCAUUUGUUUUUCAACUGGACAAUGACCCAACACCUCCAAGCUGUGUUAGGGCUAUUUGACCAAGAAGGAGAGUGUGCGUUUCCCAGAGUCUGUUCUGGACUUGGGGACUGUGAAGAGACCCUUGGUGGCAUGACUUGUGGGGUAUGCAUGGGGUGUCUGAGCUGUGUGAUAGUCGUUUGAACGGACAGCUCUUUGUGGCACUUGACCAUAUGACUGGGCAGUAGUCCAAGUGUGACAAAACUAGGGCCUGUAGGACUGUUGAUAGCAAUGCCAAGAAAGCAGAGCAGCACUUUAUUACGGCCAGACCUCUCCCCAUCUUAGCUACCAUUGCAUCAAUAUAUUUUGACCAUAACAGUUUACAAUCACGGGUUACACCAAGCAAUUUAGUCCCCUCAUCAUGCUCAAUAUCCACAUUAUACAUUACUAAAUUUAGUUGAGGUUUAAGUGAAUGGUUUGUCCCAAAUACAAUGCAUUUAGUUUUUGAAAUAUUUAGUACUAGCUUAUUACUUGUCACCCAUUCUAAAACUGUCGGCAGCUCUUUGUUAAGUGUUGCAGUGAUUUCACUUACUGUGGUAGCUGAUGUGUAUAAUGUUGAGUCAUCAUUAUACAUACACUUACAGACUUUACUCAGUGCCAGUGACAGGUCAUUAGUAAAGAUUGAAAUAUGUAAGGGGCUUGGGCAUUCCCCAGGGCAGUUGUCUAUCAGAAUUGCCUAGAUUGGUAAUGUGGACAAAUCCUACAAUUAUUACAGAAUCAAUAUGCUGAAUGUGUCUUUUUGAGUGUGAUUGCGUCCCAAAUUCCCAUUUGGAAUAGGGUGCCAAAAACGACAAUGUCUUAGCCUUGGCCAAUACCAGAGCUCUGGUAACCUGUUUUGAUUAAAUAGGUUUUAAUUCGCUGUUGAACUGAAAUCUUAUAGGCAUACCUCAAAAAGCAUGUCUGACUCAGUAUUUACAAAGAGAGAGUUUGCCAACAUUGCAGCAUUAAGGCAACGAGAUACCACAGUAUUACACCUGCUGCUACUCUCUGUUUAUCAUAUAUUCAUAGUCCCUUUAACUAUACAUUCAUGUACAUACUACCUCAAUUGGGCCGACCAACCAGUGCUCCUGCACAUUGGCUAACCGGGCUAUCUGCAUUGUGUCCCAUCCGCCAACCCCUUAUUUACGCUACUGAUACUCUCUGUUCAUCAUAUAUGCAAAGUCACUUUAACCAUAUCUACAUGUACAUACUACCUCAACCAGCCUGACUAACCGGUGUCUGUAUGUAGCCUCGCUACGUUUAUAGCCUCGCUACUGUAUAUAGCCUGUCUUUUUACUGUUGUUUUAUUUCGUUUCCUACCUAUUGUUCACCUAAUACCUUUUUUGCACUAUUGGUACGAUCCUGUAAGUAAGCAUUUCCCUGUAAGGUCUACACCUAUUAUAUUCAUCGCAUGUGACAAAUAAACUUUGAUUUGAUUUGAUACCAUGAGGCAGGUGAGCCAUACAGUUGAACCAUUGAGUGGUGAAAGAGAGGGAGAGAGAGAUUGAGCAGGU